UGUUCAAAAUGCUUGGCUGUCACAACAAAGUCAGAUUCAAAGGACUCGUUUAGAUGGUGAAGCUGUGGCACACGAAAUUGAGCGUCAAGGCUCCUCUGAUUCUGAAGAUGAUCUUCCACCUAUUGAAAUGAACAUGAAUCAUUUGAAUCGAAUCGAGAGUGAUGAAGAAAGCGAGUAAGUGGAUGUUAAAAUAUCCAUUGUUCGAUCUCGCUCACAGCAUGCUGCCAUCUUAGAAGUAAUCUGGAGACGUGCACAAUGCCCCAAAUAUAUUGGCUAGCUUCGAUUUUAGUACACAAGGUGUCAUAUAGUUCCCAGCUCGCGAUUUGCUAUUAUCUAUCAAAUUUCGCCUUUUAUAUUCAUUACCUGUCAUUUUAAAUAUGAAGAGGUGACGGAAGUGCUAGCUUGCAGUAAUUACGUUUACGCUCUCUCAUUCCUUUGCAUUUUGAAUGUAUGUUUCGAUUUUCUUCUUGCAUUUUGAAUGUAGUUUUUGGUGACUUUGUUCCGUUUUAGAAUAAAAAUCACAGCUUCAUUGUCGUUAUGCUUAA